rnacentral:rRNA from 1 species
AGUGAACGCUAGCUACAGGCUUAACACAUGCAAGUCGAGGGACCGGCGCACGGGUGAGUAACACGUAUCCAACCUGCCCUUUACUCGGGGAUAGCCUUUCGAAAGAAAGAUUAAUACCCGAUAUAAAGGAUGGGGAUGCGUUCGAGUAGGUUGUUGGUGAGGUAACGGCCCACCAAGCCUUCGAUGGAUAGGGGUUCGGAGAGGAAGGUCCACCACAAUGGAAAUGAGAUACGGUCCAAACUCCGACGGGAGGCAGGAGUGAGGAAUACUGGGCAAUGGGCGCUAGCCUGAACCAGCCAAGUAGCGGGAAGGAGGAAGGCUUAUGGGUCGUAAACUUCUUUUAUAUAAGAAUAUGUACUAUAUGAAUAAGGAUCGGCUAACUCCGUGCCAGCAGCCGCGGUAAUAC